rnacentral:lncRNA from 1 species
UUUAGUCAUUCAUUCACUCAUAAACCUAUUCAUAAUGUUUCAUUUACUCAUUAAAUUUUUAAAAUAAAUUUAGUACCUGGUCCAUAUUUGGAAUUCAGUUAACUUUUGUGGAAUAAGUGAAUGAAUGGGUGGGGUCCUAGUUGACCAACCUUUGUCUUAGUAGAUUAAGAUUCAUCUACUUAACAGGCAGGAACAAGACAAGAGUUUCAUGAAGAGCCUCAUGAAGCUAUAUAAGUCUGUGAUGGAGAACUGAUGCUAGCAGUGUCAGGAAUAUCACAAAGGGUACCAGUCCAAUGGGGCACAGGGUUACUAUAGUUCUGACAUGAUCCUGCACUUCUCAAGUGUGGAAUUAUGCUUCUAACAAAGCCAAGGACUACAGGAAGAUAUCUGAUGAACUUUAACGUUCCUUUGGGCCUUUUUUAUGAUCAUUUUGAAGAUGCUUCAUUACUGCUACAUAACAUUAAGUAUCAUUAUUGAUUGGUCUGUGCUAUUACCUUACUUGCUAUUAAAUAUUGUAAAUAUCACCCCUGCCACCAUGAGAUCAGCUUUCAGUUCAGAUACCAUUUGGAAAUGGCUCUUCCCAUGAAGAGUUUAUAAUGAUCCUCCGUUCCUCCCAACAUGAUGGAGAGAAAGGCACAAGUGCCCAGUUCAGUGAGAAGUGUUGCUCAGUUGAAAAACAGGCAGGUGUCAUUUCCAGGGCAAUAAAUAUAUAGGUAGCAGUGGUUUUACAAGAUGAAAAUUCCUAUAGACAUCUAUUGCUAAAUGUUGUUCUUGUAUAUGUUUUGGGGAACUGUAUAAGCUGAGAUUGAGAAGUGAGGAUCCAGACACAGAGAAGGGAUCAAUUCCCAAAGAGAAAAGAACAGCAUGGAAAACAGAAACCAGAUGAAGAGGAAUUCAGGAACUAUGCUGAGGCAUGGAAUGUUCUUCUGGGCUACUAUUUCCUUCAAUCAAGUUAAUUUUCAUGCAUUCUUACAACCACGUGGACUCUGAUAUCUACCAGAACACCUGAGAAGACCCUGUCUCCUGGUUUUCUUGCUUUCACCAGCCUUACAAGUAUUUACAGCAUAAAAUAUCUAUGGUCAGUGAAGAGGUGGAAGAGGAAUCUCCAGGCAUCCCAAGCAACAUGAAUAGAGAGGAAGAUCAGCCUUGAGCUAACUACUGCCAGUCCUCCUCUUUUUGCUGAGGAAGACUGGCCCUGAGCUAACAUCUGUGCCCAUCUUCGUCUGCUUUAUAUGUGGGAAGCCUACCACAGCAUGGCUUUUGCCAAGCGGUGCCAUGUCUGCACCCGGGAUCUGAACCUGCGAACCCCAGGCUGCCAAGAAGCAGAACAUGCAAACUUAACUGCUGUGCCAUGGGGCCGGCCCCGAUGUGCUCCAUUUUUAAGUUGUAAAAUACAAAUAUUAUACAUACUGGGAAUAUAAUAGCUUAAUGGAUUUUCUUAGGAAUAUAGUUUCAUGAAGUGCAUGAAUGGUGUGUAUUGAAUCAGCCUGUCUAGAUAUGGAGACCAGGAAAGCUGAAUCAGCUUCAUUCUAAACCAUCAACAUCUGUGACCUUGGAACAAAUCAAUAGAGUCUAUUCAGCUUGUCUUUGGGAAAUGGAGUUAAUUCAACUUCUAAUUCAAGUCAAUUAAUAUCUAUGGGUCCAUCACGUUGUUCCUGGCUCCAAGGAUACAACAUAUGGUUAGUGUUCUCGUCCUCCAGCAGCCCUCCAUCUAGCUGGGAGACAGAUUUGUACACAUUGAACCAAAGCACAAGUUCAGGCUGUGGCCAUCGCACAAACAAAGCAUUACAGGGAAACAGAUAAUGACUGAAGGUUGAAGGAAGCUGGGGGAGGGGAAAGCUUCACAGAGAAGGGGAAAUUUAAGUUAGACAUUUAAGUAAAAGUGCCUUGUUCCUUCAUUCUUACAAAAUGAAUUCUCAAGAAUCCUAUAAAAUCACAUAUCUUUUUUUCCUGACUGAUCAGAG